AUGUUAUCCGCGUGCCUUACCUUCCAGAGGCGAACAACCGUUGAUAAACCCUCCCAUCUACGGUCACUAAUACUAUCUUCCCUCUUCAUCAUUCCAAAUUCCAAUUCUAAAAUUUUCGCAAUUCCCGCAUUUUCCCCUUUCCCUUCCACAACUCCACCCCUUAUAUAUCAACACAAAUCAACAUUUCUUACAUCAUAA